CCUACGGGUGGCUGCAGUGGGGAAUAUUGGACAAUGGGCGAAAGCCUGAUCCAGCCAUGCCGCGUGUGUGAAGAAGGCCUUCGGGUUGUAAAGCACUUUCAGUGGGGAAGAAAGCCUUGGGGCUAAUACCCUCGAGGAAGGACAUCACCCACAGAAGAAGCACCGGCUAACUCCGUGCCAGCAGCCGCGGUAAUACGGAGGGUGCGAGCGUUAAUCGGAAUUACUGGGCGUAAAGCGCGCGUAGGCGGUCUGUAAGCCGGUUGUGAAAGCCCCGGGCUCAACCUGGGAACGGCAUCCGGAACUGUCAGGGUAGAGUGCAGGAGAGGAAGGUAGAAUUCCCGGUGUAGCGGUGAAAUGCGUAGAGAUCGGGAGGAAUACCAGUGGCGAAGGCGGCCUUCUGGACUGACACUGACGCUGAGGUGCGAAAGCGUGGGUAGCAAACAGGAUUAGAUACCCGAGUAGUC
rnacentral:rRNA from 1 species